rnacentral:rRNA from 1 species
AUUGAACGCUGGCGGCAGGCUUAACACAUGCAAGUCGAACGAGUGGCGGACGGGUGAGUACUGUCUGGGCAUCUGCCUGAUGGAGGGGGAUAACUACUGGAAACGGUAGCUAAUACCGCAUACCAUCGGAUGUGCCCAGAUGGGAUUAGCUAGUAGGUGGGGUAACGGCUCACCUAGGCGACUAUCCCUAGCUGGUCGGAGAGGAGGACCAGCCACACUGGAACUGAGACACGGUCCAGACUCCUACGGGAGGCAGCAGUGGGGAAUAUUGCACAAUGGGCGCAAGCCUGAUGCAGCCAUGCCGCGGGUAUGAAGAAGGCCUUCGGGUUGUAAAGUACUUUCAGCGGGGAGGCGUUACCCGCAGAAGAAGCACCGGCUAACUCCGUGCCAGCAGCCGCGGUAAUUC